rnacentral:rRNA from 1 species
GCAAGUCGAACGGCAGCACGGGCUGCUUGCACCUGGUGGCGAGUGGCGAACGGGUGAGUAAUGUAUCGGAACGUAUCCAAUAAUGGGGGAUAACUAAUCGAAAGGUUGGCUAAUACCGCAUACGCCCUACGGGGGAAAGCAGGGGAUCUUCGGACCUUGCGUUAAUGGAGCGGCCGAUAUCUGAUUAGCUAGUUGGUGAGGUAAAGGCUCACCAAGGCGACGAUCAGUAGCUGGUCUGAGAGGACGACCAGCCACACUGGAACUGAGACACGGUCCAGACUCCUACGGGAGGCAGCAGUGGGGAAUUUUGGACAAUGGGGGCAACCCUGAUCCAGCCAUUCCGCGUGAGUGAAGAAGGCCUUCGGGUUGUAAAGCUCUUUCGCAAGGGAAGAAACGAUACAGUCUAAUAAACUGUGUUAAUGACGGUACCUUGAUAAGAAGCACCGGCUAACUACGUGCCAGCAGCCGCGGUAAUACGUAGGGUGCGAGCGUUAAUCGGAAUUACUGGGCGUAAAGCGUGCGCAGGCGGUUUUGAAAGUCAGAUGUGAAAUCCCCGGGCUCAACCUGGGAACUGCGUUUGAAACUCCAAAGCUAGAGUAUGGGAGAGGGGGGUAGAAUUCCACGUGUAGCAGUGAAAUGCGUAGAGAUGUGGAGGAAUACCAAUGGCGAAGGCAGCCCCCUGGCUUAAUACUGACGCUCAUGCACGAAAGCGUGGGGAGCAAACAGGAUUAGAUACCCUGGUAGUCCACGCCCUAAACGAUGUCUACUAGUUGUUGGGAGAGUAAAAUCUCUUAGUAACGCAGCUAACGCGUGAAGUAGACCGCCUG